AAGAUUUUGACGAUUAAAAUAGAAGUCAAACAGAUAUGUAAUUCCAUAAGUAACUAAUUGUACUGCCAACAAAAAUCUAAUGCUAGAGGGUAUGGUGACAUCCCAUCCUUGCAGGACCAUCCACCACGUAGGCGCCACGUCAUAGUCCUCCCAAGGAUGGUCACUAGAGGGUAUGGGAGGAUGAUCCUACCCCACCACUUUUUUUAUUUUUUUUUAAUUUCUAUGCCCUAUAUACAAGUAUUGAAGUCUAAUGUACAAGUCCCUAACACAACCAAACAAACAAACAAAACAAAGGGGGCCCACCAUUUCAGACCGUCGCCACCGUCUGAAAUUGGACGUGGAAGACGGGACGGAGGACGUGGGGGGCGGGAUGGAGGACGUGGGGGGCGCCGGUGGAGGACGGGAUGCAUACCGUGCAGCCUAAAAAUCAAGAAAAAGGGGUUUCUAAAUUGGGAAUAGGCAUGAGUUCAUCCCCAGAAAGUAUAUCAAAAACCCACUAAAUCAGUUAAAGAAAAUCUGUUAAGCAUUUCAUCAAACACCUUGCAUUCAGUACACAAACAAGCUCAUAUCCAAAUGGGUAUUCAAGAAAUCAAUCAUAUGACACACGAGACUGAUUACUAAAACAAAAACCCACUAAAUCACAACAAAUAAAUGUAAAAAUAAACUCAAAGGUUGCAAAAACCAGUUAAACCCAUUGGGGCAUUUCAUCAAACACCUUGCAUUCAGUACACAAACAAGCUCAUAUCCAAAUGGGUAUUCAAGAAAUCAAUCAUAUGACACAUGAUACUGAUUAUUGAACACAAACACAUACCUUCUCGUAUAGAUUCUCACAUGCACGUUCUUCAAUUCGAGUGUGUGAUCUUGAUUCCCGAUGCAGAGUUCUUAAAUCUUAAGAGGGGGUUCUGGAAACCGAACACGCGAGACGAUACAUUCUUGAAACUGUCUAAAGCGUCACUACCUCUUCACAUUACUGAACCAAACAUGCAAUACCAACAUUGCCCGUCUUAAAACGGAACACGCGAGACGAUACAUGCUUAGUUUCGGCUUGGGAGGCAAUUUGUUAACCGGGACUCUGUCUGCUGAUAUGUGCCAGUUAACUGGCCUUUGUGAUGUUCGGGGAAAUAACUUGACCGGAACUAUCCCAGAUAGCAUUGGUAACUGUACUAGCUUUGAGAUAUUAGAUAUAUCUUACAAUCAGAUCACCGGUGAAAUCCCCUACAAUAUCAGGCUUCUACGAUUGAUUGUUGACCACAAUAUUGCUGAUUACAUGUGUUCAAAGAACAAUGUUGUGUUGUCUUACAAGGAUAUGAGUCACACAAACUCAAAUGGGCCGAUGCGUGGUCUCCAGUUUGCUUCUUUUGUAGCACAGUACUACGGGCUGGUGCUGGAUCUUUUAUUUCUUGGGUUGACCCGUGCGAGCAAAAUUGCUGGCCCACCAUAAACGCCUAAUGAGUUCUUUACUUUCCGGGAUACUAAAGUUGAAACACGACACCCGAUACUGUUGUACUCCUGGUACAUUAACAAAGUGCAUAUCCUGUUUUGUUUUACACAUGAAGAGGCCUGUGACCUUAUCCAGCGCUAUAUCACUGAGCACCCUGAUCCUAAAAACGAAAAUAUGGUCGAGUAUAAUAAUAGAAAGUGCUGGCCCAGAGAUGCAAGAAUGCGGCUCAUGAAACAUGAUGUAUUUUUAAAUGUUAGGAGAUAAGUGUUUUUUGGGAAAUGAAGAACCGCCUUCCUCGGAGUAUUACAACUCUAGAGUGGGAGAACGGCUUUGUUUUUGUUUAUAGCAAAGACAAUCCAAACCUUCUGUUUACAAUGUAAGUUGCUUGAUACUUUCCCACUUUAUGUUGCCCAGAAUGAUCUUUGAUCUCUAGAUCGCAAAUGAUAAAUGUAACUUUAUUGAAUACUGAAAUUUGAAUACAAUGGAAUGAUCGAAUGUAAUGUAAUGAACGAGUUUUACAAAUGAAAAUCUAAGGCCUAUUUUGUGACAACCCGUAAUUUCGACACUUGGUAAUUAUGAUUAGAGUUACAAAUAACGCGUUAUUAAUUAACAAUUUUGUAGCGAUAUGAAAGAACAAAACAAACAUUGGUAACCAAAAUGCUAGAGAAGCAUUUUCAACUUAGUUUAUAUGCAUAACAU